AUCAACGUAUGCUUUACUCUUAAAAAUAGUCUGUUCAUAUUUUAAACGUUGCACUUUUUUGUCAGUUAUAAAUAGCUAGUAAACUAACAUAAAACCAGAUACAUGUGUAAUUACUUAAUGUUAGAUUGCUAAUUAUGUAGGUAAUAUGUCAAGUCAGUGAGUUAGCAAUUUACAUUUUUCGGUUUGCACAUUAAACUAGAAUUUUGACAUGGAGUCCAGGGCUCCGAUGAAGGGUUUACAUUAACAGUGAUGCAUGGGGAGAAGAAGACGCCCAUUCCAUGGAGCAUCAGGCAGACAGGUCAGAGGUCGCUGGAGUCAGUCCAACUCGUUACCAUCUCUGUAGAGGACAUGGCGUGUUGAGUAUUUAAGAUCUGAAGUUGCUGCUUUUGAACGUGAGCACAUUCAACAAUUGAAUUUACUGCUGACAUAGCAAGUGUUGGAGCAAUGUGUGGAUCGGGAUUGGGGCCUUGAGGUAUUCAGGCAUUGUGCCGCUUCUCCAACAUCACCUCCUGUCUCCAGCCAACCAUCCUGGAGCAUCUACCAGAGGACCAGAGAGAUUAUGCCUUCUGUGGUGGAGAGAAAGUACAGCAUGCGACAGCCACCUUGUUGCAUUUCAGCCCUACCACACAUGGAGCCUUACACUCUUAAGGCAUGAGUCCUGCAUCUGGGCAGGAGCACCUGGAAUGACGUGUGCUGCUGUUGAAUUUCCAGAUGUAGAUGAAGAACAGGCUGCAUACAGACAAUUUAUGCCGUGGCACUAUGGGACUUUGGGUCCUGAUCACAGAGCAGUCAUCCCAAACUGGAGUGUUUGGACUAUCCAGGAUAGAUUUCUAGAUCCCUUUGGAGCGUACAGGAGAUUUAUUUCAAGCAGAAUAUACCUGCAGUGGUUUAAAAUGUUUAAUGCAUUCUGUCUGCAUAUGAAUAUUUGGCUUAUUCAAAACAUUUCUAAUACAUUUAUUGUGAAUACUUCUCAAUAAAGGGUUUAAAAAAUA